GUCUAUAGCCAGGCCAUUCUGAACAAGCCCAAUGUCUGAUCUCAGAAGCUAAGCAGGUCGGGCCUGGUUCGCACUUAGAUGGGAGACCACCUAGGAAGACUGGGUGCUGUAGGCA
rnacentral:rRNA from 1 species